rnacentral:rRNA from 1 species
GGACUACACGGGUUUCUAAUCCUGUUUGCUCCCCACGCUUUCGCGCCUCAGCGUCAGUUGUGGUCCAGAGAGCCGCCUUCGCCACCGGUGUUCUUCCCAAUAUCUACGAAUUUCACCUCUACACUGGGAAUUCCACUCUCCUCUCCCACACUCAAGCUCCAGAGUAUCAAAUGCAAUUCCCAGGUUAAGCCCGGGGCUUUCACAUCUGACUUUCAGAGCCGCCUGCGCGCCCUUUACGCCCAGUAAUUCCGAACAACGCUCGCCCCCUUCGUAUUACCGCGGCUGCUGGCAC